GCAAGUCGAACGAGAAAGGGAUUGCUUGCAAUCCUGAGUAGAGUGGCGCACGGGUGAGUAACACGUAGAUAAUCUACCUUCAAGCCUGGGAUAACUAUUCGAAAGGAUAGCUAAUACCGGAUAAAGUUAAUUUACAUAAGUUUAUUAAUGAAAGAUUGCCUCUUCUUGAAAGCAAUUGUUUGGGGAUGAGUCUGCGGACCAUUAGCUUGUUGGUGGGGUAACGGCCUACCAAGGCAGCGAUGGUUAGCUGGUCUGAGAGGAUGAUCAGUCACACUGGAACUGGAACACGGUCCAGACUCCUACGGGAGGCAGCAGUGAGGAAUUUUGCGCAAUGGGGGAAACCCUGACGCAGCAACGCCGCGUGAGUGAAGAAGGCCUUUGGGUCGUAAAGCUCUGUCAACAAGGAAGAAAUUAUUAUCAUUUAAUAGAUGUUAAUAUUGACGGUACUUGUGGAGGAAGCGCCGGCUAACUCCGUGCCAGCAGCCGCGGUAACACGGGGGGCGCAAGCGUUAUUCGGAAUUAUUGGGCGUAAAGGGCGCGCAGGCGGUCUUGUCAGUCAGGUGUGAAAGCCCGGGGCUCAACCCUGGAAGAGCACUUGAAACAGCAAGACUUGAAUACGGGAGAGGAGAGAGGAAUUCCUGGUGUAGAGGUGAAAUUCGUAGAUAUCAGGAGGAACACCGAUGGCGAAGGCAUCUCUCUGGACCGAUAUUGACGCUGA
rnacentral:rRNA from 1 species